rnacentral:rRNA from 1 species
CAGGCGCGAAAACUUUACAAUGCUGGCAACAGCGAUAAGGGGACCUCGAGUGCCACGAUACAAUCGUGGCUGUCUAGUUGCCUAAAAAGCAAUUGAUAGCAAGGGCCGGGCAAGACCGGUGCCAGCCGCCGCGGUAACACCGGCGGCUCGAGUGGUAACCGCUAUUAUUUGGUCUAAAGGGUCUGUAGCCGGCUUAGUCAGUCUUUUGAGAAAUCUGGCCGCUCAACGGUCAGGCGUUCAGGGGAUACUGCUAAAGCUCGAGACCGGGAGAGGUGAGAGGUACUUCAGGGGUAGGGGUGAAAUCUUGUAAUCCUUGAAGGACCACCAGUGGCGAAGGCGUCUCACCAGAACGGAUCUGACGGCAAGGGACGAAAGCUAGGGGCACGAACCGGAUUAGAUACCCGGGUAGUCCUAGCCGUAAACGAUACUCGCUAGGUGUCGGCCACGGUGCGACCGUGGUCGGUGCCGUAGGGAAGCCGUGAAGCGAGCCACCUGGGAAGUACGGCCGCAAGGCUGAAACUUAAGGGAAUUGGCGGGGGAGCACUACACCGGUGGAGCUGCGGUUUAAUUGGAUUUCACGCCGGAAAUCUACCGGGGGCCGACCGCCAUAUGAAGGCCAG